UACGUAGGUGGCAAGCGUUAUCCGGAUUUACUGGGCGUAAAGGGAGCGUAGGCGGCCUGCCAAGUCUGAUGUGAAACACCGGGGCUCAACCCCGGGGCUGCAUUGGAAACUGGCAGGCUGGAGUGCCGGAGAGGUCAUCGGAAUUCCUUGUGUAGCGGUGAAAUGCGUAGAUAUAAGGAAGAACACCAGUGGCGAAGGCGGAUGACUGGACGGCAACUGACGGUGAGGCGCGAAAGCGUGGGGAGCAAACAGG
rnacentral:rRNA from 1 species